UAGGGAAUCUUCCGCAAUGGGCGAAAGCCUGACGGAGCAACGCCGCGUGAGUGAUGAAGGUCUUCGGAUCGUAAAACUCUGUUAUUAGGGAAGAACAUAUGUGUAAGUAACUGUGCACAUCUUGACGGUACCUAAUCGGAAAGCCACGGCUAACUACGUGCCAGCAGCCGCGGUAAUACGUAGGUGGCAAGCGUUAUCCGGAAUUAUUGGGCGUAAAGCGCGCGUAGGCGGUUUUUUAAGUCUGAUGUGAAAGCCCACGGCUCAACCGUGGAGGGUCAUUGGAAACUGGAAAACUUGAGUGCAGAAGAGGAAAGUGGAAUUCCAUGUGUAGCGGUGAAAUGCGCAGAGAUAUGGAGGAACACCAGUGGCGAAGGCGACUUUCUGGUCUGUAACUGACGCUGAUGUGCGAAAGCGUGGGGAUCAAACAGGAUUAGAUACCCUGGUAGUCCACGCCGUAAACGAUGAGUGCUAAGUGUUAGGGGGUUUCCGCCCCUUAGUGCUGCAGCUAACGCAUUAAGCACUCCGCCUGGGGAGUACGACCGCAAGGUUG
rnacentral:rRNA from 1 species